GAACUAUUGGCAGGUGCAUUCGCUAUUCGCAGCCUCACGCCGGAACGGGCGAAUUGUUGCGUGAUGCUCAAGAUGGACAAUGUAUCAGCGGUCCGAUACAUCAAUCACCUGGGAGGCACGAAAUCGCGCAUGUUAGCUCUCAUGGCGAAGGACUUCUGGCAAUUUUGCCUUCACAACAGCAUUUCCGUGCAGGCGGAACAUAUUCCGGGUCUGGACAACUCAACGGCCGAUUGGAACUCACGCUAUUUGAGAGAUUCUGGAGAUUGGCGCUUGCACGCUACGGCCUUCCAGGGUCUGGACCACAUUUGGGGCCCAUUCGACGUGGACCUUUUCGCGUCCCGUCUCAACGCGCAAGUACCCAAGUUCUUCAGUUGGAGACCGGACCCGGCGGCAGUAGCAACGGAUGCGUUCCUUCAAGACUGGCCACGGACUCGGCUCUACGCUUUUCCCCCGUUCAAUAUGAUAGCUCGCACGCUGUCGAAACUGACGCAACACGGCAGCUCGUUGGUACUGAUCACACCACUAUGGCGGUCUCGGCCUUGGUUCCCUCGGCUGCUGGAACUGACA